rnacentral:rRNA from 1 species
AUUGAACGCUGGCGGCAUGCUUUACACAUGCAAGUCGAACGGUAACAGGCCGCAAGGUGCUGACGAGUGGCGAACGGGUGAGUAAUGCAUCGGAACGUGCCCAGUCGUGGGGGAUAACGCAGCGAAAGCUGUGCUAAUACCGCAUACGAUCUAUGGAUGAAANCGGGGGACCUAAGGCCUCGCGCGAUUGGAGCGGCCGAUGUCAGAUUAGGUAGUUGGUGGGGUAAAGGCCCACCAAGCCAACGAUCUGUAGCUGGUCUGAGAGGACGACCAGCCACACUGGGACUGAGACACGGCCCAGACUCCUACGGGAGGCAGCAGUGGGGAAUUUUGGACAAUGGGCGCAAGCCUGAUCCAGCAAUGCCGCGUGACAGGAAGAAGGCCU